GAACGCUGGCGGCGUGCUUAACACAUGCAAGUCGAGCGAAGCACCUUGACGGAUUUCUUCGGAUUGAAGCCUUGGUGACUGAGCGGCGGACGGGUGAGUAACGCGUGGGUAACCUGCCUCAUACAGGGGGAUAACAGUUGGAAACGGCUGCUAAUACCGCAUAAGCGCACAGUACCGCAUGGUACGGUGUGAAAAACUCCGGUGGUAUGAGAUGGACCCGCGUCUGAUUAGGUAGUUGGUGGGGUAACGGCCUACCAAGCCGACGAUCAGUAGCCGACCUGAGAGGGUGACCGGCCACAUUGGGACUGAGACACGGCCCAAACUCCUACGGGAGGCAGCAGUGGGGAAUAUUGCACAAUGGGGGAAACCCUGAUGCAGCGACGCCGCGUGAGCGAUGAAGUAUUUCGGUAUGUAAAGCUCUAUCAGCAGGGAAGAAAAUGACGGUACCUGACUAAGAAGCCCCGGCUAACUACGUGCCAGCAGCCGCGGUAAUACGUAGGGGGCAAGCGUUAUCCGGAUUUACUGGGUGUAAAGGGAGCGUAGACAGCAUGGCAAGCCAGAUGUGAAAG
rnacentral:rRNA from 1 species